GCCGAGCGGCCACCUGUGCAGCGGCAGUUGAAGGGGUCAAGGUGUAACAUACCAGAUUUUGGUAUAAAAAUAAAAAUAAAUAAAAAUAGUGUGAGAAACUAUUUUUAUUGGAUUUGUAGAAGUAAAACAUAAGUCAGAAGUGACUUGUGCUGAAAUCGGAAUGAAAACAGAAGAUCUAGAAUUUUCUGUUGGAAACGGGGCAGAUAAAUUAGCAGAAAAUGCACAGUCUAAGAAAAUUAUGAAAAUUGGCAGAGAUGUCAGAAAUAUUUUUAUGAGGCUAGAUUUAAGGUUUCAUAUUUUUCUGACACCCGUAGAGUGAGAAAUAAAAUCCGAAAGCUAUCUGAUAAAGAUUGCAGUUCGGUACAGUUUUCAGUGACCAAACGGGGUCGAAACUGAACCAGUGAUCGUCAGCUUGUUAAGUUAA
rnacentral:lncRNA from 1 species